rnacentral:rRNA from 1 species
UACGGGAGGCAGCAGUGGGGAAUAUUGCACAAUGGGCGCAAGCCUGAUGCAGCCAUGCCGCGUGUAUGAAGAAGGCCUUCGGGUUGUAAAGUACUUUCAGUCGUGAGGAAGGUGUUAAGGUUAAUAACCUUAGCAAUUGACGUUAGCGACAGAAGAAGCACCGGCUAACUCCGUGCCAGCAGCCGCGGUAAUACGGAGGGUGCGAGCGUUAAUCGGAAUUACUGGGCGUAAAGGGCACGCAGGCGGUUAAUUAAGUUGGAUGUGAAAUCCCCGGGCUUAACCUGGGAAUGGCAUUCAAGACUGGUUAGCUAGAGUCUUGUAGAGGAGGGUAGAAUUCCGAUGUGUAGCGGUGAAAUGCGUAGAGAUGUGGAGGAAUACCGGGUGGCGAAGGCGGCCCCUGGGACAAAGACUGACGCUCAUGUGCGAAAGCGUGGGGAGCAAACAGGGAUUAGAUACC